GCAGUUGGCAAGAAUAAGCACCUUAAGAAAGGUGGCAAACAGGGGGCCAGGAAGAAAGUGGUUGAUCCAUUUUCUAAGAAAGAUUGGUAUGAUGUGAAAGCACCUGCUAUGUUCACAAGAAAUAUUGGAGAGAUGCUAGUCACCAGGACUGAAGGAACCCAAAUGUAUCAGAUGGCCUCAAGGGUUGUGUGUUUGAAGUGAGUCUUGCUGAUUUGCAGAAUGAUGAUGUUGUAUUUAGAAAAUUCAAGCUGAUUACUGAAGAUGUUCAGGGCAAAAACUGCCUGACUAACUUCCAUGGCAUGGAUCUGACCUGUGACAAAAUGUGCUCCAUGGUCAAAAAAUGGCAGACAAUGAUUGAAGCUCCUGUCAAUGUCAAGACUACCAACGGUUACGUGCUUCGUCUGUUCUGUGUUGGUUUUGCUAAGAAACACAACAAUCCGAUAUGGAAGACCUCUUAUGCUCAGCAUCAACAAGUCCGCCAAAUCCGGAAGAAGAUUUUGGAAAUCAUGACCUGAGAGGCGCAGACAAAUGACCUGAAAGAAGUGGUCAAUAAAUUGAUUGCAGACAGCAUUGGAAAAGACAUAAAAAGGCUUGCCAAUCUGUUUGUCCUCUCCAUGAUGUCUUCAUUAGCAAAGUAAAAAUGCUGAAGAAGCCCAAGUCUGAACUGGGAAAACUCAUGGAGCUUCAUGGUGAAGGUAGCAGUUCUGGAAAAGCCACUGGGGACGAGACAGGUGCUAAAGUUGAACGAGCUGAUGGAUAUGAACCACGGUCCUUGAAUCUG
rnacentral:lncRNA from 1 species